GCGCAGGUGGUGGAAUGGUAGACACUAGGGACUUAAAAUCCCUUGGCCUUUAGGCCGUGCAGGUUCGACUCCUGUUCUGCGCA
rnacentral:tRNA from 1 species